AACGAACGCUGGCGGCAUGCCUAACACAUGCAAGUCGAACGAGACCUUCGGGUCUAGUGGCGCACGGGUGCGUAACGCGUGAGAACCUGCCCUUAGGUUCGGAAUAACUCCCCGAAAGGGGUGCUAAUACCGGAUAAUGUCGUCGGACCAAAGAUUUAUCGCCUUUGGAUGGGCCCGCGUUGGAUUAGCUAGUUGGUAGGGUAAAAGCCUACCAAGGCGACGAUCCAUAGCUGGUCUGAGAGGAUGAUCAGCCACACUGGGACUGAGACACGGCCCAGACUCCUACGGGAGGCAGCAGUGGGGAAUAUUGGACAAUGGGCGAAAGCCUGAUCCAGCAAUGCCGCGUGAGUGAUGAAGGCCUUAGGGUUGUAAAGCUCUUUUACCCGGGAUGAUAAUGACAGUACCGGGAGAAUAAGCUCCGGCUAACUCCGUG
rnacentral:rRNA from 1 species